rnacentral:rRNA from 1 species
GACGAACGCUGGCGGCGUGCCUAAUACAUGCAAGUCGAGCGCAGGAAAUCGACGGAACCCUUCGGGGGGAAGUCGACGGAAUGAGCGGCGGACGGGUGAGUAACACGUAAAGAACCUGCCCUCAGGUCUGGGAUAACCACGAGAGAUCGGGGCUAAUACCGGAUGGGUCAUCGGACCGCAUGGUCCGAGGAUGAAAGGCGCUUCGGCGUCGCCUGGGGAUGGCUUUGCGGUGCAUUAGCUAGUUGGUGGGGUAAUGGCCCACCAAGGCGACGAUGCAUAGCCGACCUGGGAGGGUGAUCGGCCACACUGGGACUGAGACACGGCCCAGACUCCUACGGGAGGCAGCCGUAGGGAAUCUUCCACAAUGGACGAAAGUCUGAUGGAGCAACGCCGCGUGAACGAUGAAGGCCUUCGGGUCGUAAAGUUCUGUUGCAAGGGAAGAACAAGUGCCGCAGGCAAUGGCGGCACCUUGACGGUACCUUGCGAGAAAGCCACGGCUAACUACGUGCCAGCCGCCGCCGUAACAC